rnacentral:lncRNA from 1 species
UCUGUAGCAAAUAAACUUACUCGAGUAUAGAGCUCUUAUAGAACCCAUCAAUAUCACACAUAUACAUUAUUUGUAUCCCAGAAAACCCACAUUGAACACCAAUUCUUGAGAACAGUUUCUCAGGUAACCACACUCUCAGAUAACCUGCACAGAUGGCAAUAAAUCUCAUCUCCUACAUGCUGAUGCAGAGUGAGGAAGAGUCUGAUAAUCUGCACUGAAUUAGUUAUAGCAUUCCAGCAACCACCCGUAGGUUCUAUGCAAAUACAUAGAGCACAAUUCAACUCAGAACCUAGUGGAAAUGGAGGCAGCCUGGAGAGAGAUAAGUGGGAGCACCAGUAAUCAUGGAGAUGUUUGUAGGACAGGAAAGAUCAUAUGUGUUUGAGUGCAAACGGCUGCAGAGCCAUAUUGAUAUGGAUGGCCAGCCUUGUUGAUGUAUUUGAGCCAUGUUCCUGUUCAUAAUCAUUCCCUCAGAGUGCAAAAUGCGGAAGACACAGGCAGGUAGCGAGUGACAAGCAUGGAAUACUGAAGGCAGUGAUUUGAUUGAAUUUAAUUUUGAAAUUGAUUGAAAUUCAUUUGCAUAUGAAAUAUGUUUUGCAAUUUGUU